UACGGAGGGGGCUAGCGUUGUCCGGAAUCAUUGGGCGUAAAGAGCGUGUAGGCGGCUUGUUAAGUCUUGCGUGAAAUCUCGGGGCUCAACCCCGAGCGGUCGUGAGAAACUGGCAGGCUAGAGUGCGGGAGAGGAGAGUGGAAUUCCUGGUGUAGCGGUGAAAUGCGCAGAUAUCAGGAAGAACACCCGUGGCGAAGGCGGCUCUCUGGAACGCAACUGACGCUGAGACGCGAAAGCGUGGGGAGCAAACAGG
rnacentral:rRNA from 1 species